AGUAGUACCUCUCUGUGUGUAAAUAUCACACUUUCUUUACCCAUUCAUCUGUUAGAAGGUGGCUAUCUUGAUUUUUAAAAAAAAUUUUUUUUUUUUUUUUGGCUAUCUUGAUUUGUGGAUGUCUAAGUUUUAGAACCAUGAGGGCCAGUGAGCUGAAGACACAAAGACAAAUUUGGAGACAAAGGAGGCAUGAUGUAGCUGAAUAUAAUAUCCUGUAUGAUGGUGAUAUAGAAACUUCACUUGGACUAAAGCAAGGAAUGGAGCUGAUUCUAAUAUGUAUCUUCAAAGAAAGACUAUAAAGGUGAAUUCUGGGUUUUAUCUAUCCUGGGUCUUAAAACUUUGUUUAAUUUUGCUUCCCUGGUUAUUGAAAUACAAGUAAAGAUUUUUUUCCAGGUUAAUACUGCAUAGCAGUUGGAAGGGACUUACAGAGAACAUGAAAUGGCAAUGAGGAUUAGGAGACAUAGCUACCACGUUUCCAGAAGCAUGAACUGCAUUGUCUACUUAGUUAUUUUCUUGUCUUUUAACACAUACAUUUAUAUUUUAAUGAAUUUCCUUUUUU
rnacentral:lncRNA from 1 species